rfam:Myotis lucifugus cont2.43197, whole genome shotgun sequence.
GCCGGGGUGGCUCAGGGGUUGAGUUUCUAGCUAUGAACUAGGAGGUCAGGGUUCAAUUCCCAGUCAAGGGCA